rnacentral:rRNA from 1 species
CUACAAGGGUAUCUAAUCCUGUUCGCUCCCCACGCUUUCGCGUCUCAGCGUCAGGUGUGGCCCAGCGAGCCGCCUUCGCUACUGGUGUUCCUCCCGAUAUCUGCGCAUUUCACCGCUACACCGGGAAUUCCACUCGCCUCUACCACCCUCUAGCCCGGCAGUAUCCGCUGCACGCCCGGGGUUGAGCCCCAGGAUUUCACAGCAGACUUACCGAACCGCCUACACGCUCUUUACGCCCAAUAAUUCCGGACAACGCUCGCCCCCUACGUAUUACCGCGGCUGCUGGCAC